GGCCGGUUGGCCCAAUGGCAAGGCGUCUGACUACGAUUCAUCAUGUCAUCAGGAGAUUCUGGGUUCGACCCCCAGGCUGGUCA
rnacentral:tRNA from 1 species